rnacentral:rRNA from 1 species
CUGCGGACGAUCAUUG